GCCUGGCUGGCUCAGUGGGUAGAGCUUGUGACUCUUGAUCUCAAAGUCUUAAGUUCAAGUCCCAUAUUGGGCA
rnacentral:tRNA from 1 species